AUUGAACGCUGGCGGCAUGCUUUACACAUGCAAGUCGAACGGCAGCACGGGUGCUUGCCUCUGGUGGCGAGUGGCAAACGGGUGUGAAGUACAUCGACAUGCGUACUGUAGUGGGGGAUCGCGCGGAAAAAGCCGGUAUUAUACCGUAUACGAUGCACGGGUGACAGCGGGGGACCUACGGGCCUCGCGAUUUGGGGUUGGGAGAUGGCGGAUUAGCUAGUUGGUGGGGUAAAGGUAUACCAAGGCGACGAUCAGUAGCUGGUCUGAGAGGACGACCAGCCACACUGGGACUGAGACACGGCCCAGACUCCUACGGGAGGCAGCAGUGGGGAAUUUUGGACAAUGGGCGAAAGCCUGAUCCAGCAAUGCCGCGUGCGGGAAGAAGGCCUUCGGGUUGUAAAGCGCUUUUGUCCGGAAAGAAAUCCUUUACGCUAAUACAGUCGGGGGAUGACGGUACCGGAAGAAUAAGCACCGGCUAACUACGUG
rnacentral:rRNA from 1 species